rnacentral:rRNA from 1 species
UACGAAGGGUGCAAGCGUUACUCGGAAUUACUGGGCGUAAAGCGUGCGUAGGUGGUUUGUUAAGUCUGAUGUGAAAGCCCUGGGCUCAACCUGGGAAUUGCAUUGGAUACUGUCAGGCUAGAGUGCGGUAGAGGAUGGCGGAAUUCCCGGUGUAGCAGUGAAAUGCGUAGAGAUCGGGAGGAACAUCUGUGGCGAAGGCGGCCAUCUGGACCAGCACUGACACUGAGGCACGAAAGCGUGGGGAGCAAACAGG